rnacentral:tRNA from 4 species
GCCCCGGUGGUGGAAUGGUAGACACGCCGGACUUAAAAUCCUGUGACUUUCGGGUCGUGCGGGUUCAAGUCCCGCCCGGGGUA